rnacentral:lncRNA from 12 species
UCAUGAAUGUAUUUUCAGAUUUCUGCAAUAUGCUACACUUUAAACUUCCUUCUCCAUUCUAUGAUUCUCCUCUCCAUGAAUUGUUUUUAUGAAGCAGCACAAAACCAAUAAAAAGGUUUGUGCGUCAAAACCCAAUAUCUACUGUCCACUACUAUCAAAAGAUUUCUGCAAUUCGCUACACUUCAAACUUCCUUCUCCAUUAUGAUUGU